rnacentral:tRNA from 1 species
GACGCUGAAGCCAAAUGGCCAGGCAACUGCCUGCAAAGCAGUUUCAAAUGGGUUCGAUUCCCAUCGGCGUCU